GACGAACGCUGGCGGCGUGCUUAACACAUGCAAGUCGAGCGGUAAGGCCCUUUCGGGGGUACACGAGCGGCGAACGGGUGAGUAACACGUGGGUGACCUGCCUCAGCUCUGGGAUAAGCCUGGGGAAACUAGGGUCUAAUACCGGAUAUGACUCCAUGACGCAUGUUGUGGGGUGGAAAGCCUUGUGCGGCUGAGGAUGGGCCCGCGGCCUAUCAGCUUGUUGGUGGGGUGAGGG
rnacentral:rRNA from 1 species